rnacentral:lncRNA from 1 species
GUGGGGAAUGAACCGACUUGGAGACACAUUAGAUCCACUCUGAGAGUCACACGUCGUAAAUCUGUAAACAAUGCUUGUAUACCAUACAAGGAUCUGCUCCAAAAAGCACUUGUGUUGAGACAAACUUUACUGUUUCUAUAGGACCAAAUAUACACUGUGUACCCUUUUUGCCCUCAGAACAGCCUCAAUUUGUUAGGGCAUGGACUCUACAAUGUGUUAAGAGUUCCACAGGGAUGCUUGCCCAUGUUGACUCCAAUGCUUCCUACAGUUGUGUCAAAUUGUCUGGAUGUCCUUUAGGUGGUGGAUCAUUCUUGAAACACACAUUGAAACUGUUGAGCGUGGAAACACCCAGCAGCGUUGCAGUUAUUGACACAAACUUGUGCGCUUGGCACCUACUACCAUACCCUGUUCAAAGGCACUUAAAUCUUUUGUCUUGUCCAUUCACCCUCUGAAUGGAACACAUUCUCAUUGGAUGUCUCUAUUGUCGGGAAGGCUUAUUAAUCCUCCUUUAACCUGUCUACUCCCCUUCAUCUAUACUGACUGAAGUGGGUUGAACAAGUAACGUCAUUAAGGGAUCAUAGCUUUCAACCUGAUCCGUCUGUCAUGGAAAGAGCAGGUGUUCAUAAGGUUUUGUAUUUAGAGUAAAACCUUGUAUCUGUAUGUUAAUGAUACAUCUUAGUUUUACAGAUCGUAUAAUGUCUUGCACAAGAUCAACCGGCUAUAUACUCUAUGUAUGGACAAUAGAAAGCCAAGUAUUACAGGCCAUUUCUUUUGAGACGUUAGAGCUUUUUUUUGCUGUGAAUGUCUGAAGCUCUCACAACAGGAAAGAUAGGGGUCGGUCAGCACGGAGGACGCUCUCACAACAGGAAAGAGGACGCUCUCGCAACAGGAAAGGUGGGGGUCGGUCAGCACGGAGGACGCUCUCGCAACAGGAAAGAUAGGGGUCGGUCAGCACGGAGGACGCUCUCGCAACAAGAAAGGUGGGGGUCGGUCAGCACGGAGGACGCUCUCGCAACAGGAAAGGUGGGGGUCGGUGAGCACGGGGACGCUCUCACAACAGGAAAGAUGGGGGUCGGUCAGCACGGAGGACGCUCUCGCAACAGGAAAGAUAGGGGUCGGUCAGCACGGAGGAUGCUCUCGCAACAGGAAAGAUGGGGGUCGGUCAGCACGGAG